AAAAAGCUGUAGGUUCCUGCAGUUGAGUCAUAGCAAAAGUUAUGGUCUGGGGUUUAAAGCAUAAACACUCCUCUCUGUUCAGAGGACUGCAUCAGAGAUUGGACAGAGAUGGUUUUGGCAUUGCUAAGAAGCACUUUUAAGUCUGUACUUAGAAGACAACCAAAGGAAGUUUAUACUUUUGAGUUUGUGACUAUGAUAGCAGCUGUCUGUUAUCAGAAGUCCUUUGAUUGAUGGUCCAACUUAGACUUUUGAAAUCUUAAAAUUUUAAGAAGAGAGAAGGAAAUCUGCAACAUUUUUAUUUUCACAUACCUUACAUCACUUUUAAGAUCUUUACAACACACCUUAAAUCACGUUUUAGACCCUCAUAACUUACUUAAACUUUCACAUCCUUAGACAUUUACAACUUGUAUUUACAUACCUAAAUUAUUUUCUUAGACCCUCCCAACUUACAUAAACUUCAACUUUUUCUUUUUCUAUCUAAUCUUUUACCAUGAGACACUCUUACACGCGUUCUCGCGACCGGCCAGGAAGAACACAACAAACCGGAAUGUUCUGCGGCAAAAGCUUUAUUGCUUACAUCUUCAGGAGCCAGAGAGCAAGAGAGCAAGAGUGCAAGAGUGCAAGAGCUCUAUUGCUUACAUCUUUAGGAGCCAGAGCGCAAGAGAGCAAGAGAGCAAGCAAGAGCGCAAGAGAGAGAAUGGUGAAACCCCAUCCCUUUUUAAGGAGAAUUAUCCUUCGCCUAGGACGUGUCACUCCCUGAUUGGCUGCAGCCCAUCGGCCGAGUUGUCGUCACGGGGAAGGCAGAGCACAUGGAGUGGAGAACUACCCUUGGCACAUGCGCAGAUUAUUUGUUUACCACUUAGAACACAGGAUGUCAGCGCCAUCUUGUAACGGCGAAUGUGAGGGUGGCUCCCCACAAGACACAAGUGGUUGAUUAUUGAGAGCAGUCACUGCAAAACAAAACAAAACAACAACAACAACAACAACAACAAACAAACAAAAAAGUUCUUUUAAAUAGAGGAAUAGUAAAAAGUUAAAUUGAAACCUCUUUUGUAAGUUUAUCUGUUGGUGUGAAGUCUGUCAGCAAAAUAAACUGUCUGUACCUGCAUUUCUCAGCAGGAGACCUCCUCACUCUAGAAAAGUGAGGCCUAAUUUAAUACAGAAAAAGAACAGACCAGAAAGCUGCAG
rnacentral:lncRNA from 1 species